UGAGUUUUUGUGAGCAUGAGCAGCAAACCUCCCUCCAAAAGUGAGUGGCCGAUUUUAUGAGUGUUGAAUGGGUAACCAAAACAAUAAUGUUUCUCUUCCCCUUCACAAGAGGGAACAGAGGGUUUGCAUUCAAGCCAUUUUAAUCAUACCACUAUCAUACUGUGCCCUUUAUCUAGAACUAAAUAUCAGCCAAAGUUUACUUGAAAAUGAUCCUGGGUUUUGCUCAAAUAAGCUAAUGAACCUUUGUGAACUUCCAAGACUGGGCUGAAUUUCAACUUUGGAACAAUACUUGAAGCCAGAAAACCUCAACUCUUCUGGACAUGAAACACUCAAUGUGAUGGCAGGUUUGGGCUUUUUCCAGCGUGAGCAGGGCAUGGCUGAUUCAAGCAAGGACAUCCAGGAUCUACACACAUCUCCAUCAUUGCUCAUGCUGCUUAGAUUUUACAGUUCUGCCGUGCACAAGGUCUGCACAUUCUGUUCUGCGCGCUGCCGAUGUUUCAGCCACGGCUCUCGGUACAACUCACGCUUCUCUUCUGAAAGCUGCUCCAGUAUUGUGCCAUUGUUGCCAGAAGGUCCUAAAUAGGAAACAAAACAAAACCAAACCAAUGAAUCAACUGUGAUAAAACAACAACAAC